rnacentral:lncRNA from 1 species
AACAACCGCCAUACGCCAUAAAGAAGGCGGGGAGCUCGAAGCGCGCGCGCCUCUCCGAGGGAUGGCGGCAAUCUCGAAGCAUCACUCCCUUCACCCGUUCCCCUUCUGGUUCCAGGCUCGGAAGUGGGGGGCUACUGUUACGGGGGAACUUAGCCACCAUGCCCCACGUGACCGGCAUGCGCGCCCAGGAAGACUACGGCAACCCCUUGAUCCAGCAAUCCGACCCCGAGUCGGACAUCUUCGGCUCCGCAGCCCGACCCCGAGUCGGCUGCCCCUUGAUCCAGCAAUCCGACCCCGAGUCGGAUAUCUUCG